rnacentral:rRNA from 1 species
CCUACGGGAGGCAGCAGUGGGGAAUAUUGGGCAAUGGAGGAAACUCUGACCCAGCGACGCCGCGUGCGGGAUGAAGGCCUUCGGGUUGUAAACCGCUUUCAGUAGGGAAGAAGCGAAAGUGACGGUACCUACAGAAGAAGCACCGGCUAACUAUGUGCCAGCAGCCGCGGUAAUACAUAGGGUGCAAGCGUUGUCCGGAAUUAUUGGGCGUAAAGAGCUCGUAGGUGGUUCGUCACGUCGGAUGUGAAAAUCUGGGGCUCAACCCCAGACCUGCAUUCGAUACGGGCGAUCUAGAGUGUGGUAGGGGAGACUGGAAUUCCUGGUGUAGCGGUGGAAUGCGCAGAUAUCAGGAGGAACACCAAUGGCGAAGGCAGGUCUCUGGGCCAUUACUGACACUGAGGAGCGAAAGCGUGGGGAGCGAACAGGAUUAGAUACCCUGGUAGUCCACGCCGUAAACGGUGGGCACUAGUUGUGGGAACCUUCCACGGUUUCUGCGACGCAGCUACGCAUAGUAGCCCGCCGUCGGGAGGUACGAGUCGCGAAGAAUUAAAACGUUAAAACGGUAAGUUAGACGGCGUGAGACGAGCCGACGGACGACGACGAGGGAGGUAGG